UAGGGAAUAUUGGGCAAUGGCCGAGAGGCUGACCCAGCCAUGCCGCGUGCAGGAUGAAGGCUUUAUGAGUCGUAAANUGNUUUUAUCAGGGAAGAAAAACGGGGGUGCGCCCUUGACUGACGGUACCUGANGAAUAAGCACCGGCUAACUCCGUGCCAGCAGCCGCGGUAAUACGGAGGGUGCAAGCGUUGUCCGGAUUUAUUGGGUUUAAAGGGUGCGUAGGCGGNUUUUUAAGUCUGGGGUGAAAGCCCGUUGCUCAACAACGGAACUGCCCUGGAAACUGGAGAGCUUGAGUACAGACGAGGGUGGCGGAAUGGAUACUGUAGCGGUGAAAUGCAUAGAUAGUAUCCAGAACCCCGAUUGCGAAGGCAGCUGCCUAGACUGUAACUGACGCUGAGGCACGAAAGCGUGGGGAGCGAACAGGAUUAGAUACCCUGNUACUCCACNCCGU
rnacentral:rRNA from 1 species